rnacentral:lncRNA from 1 species
CCUCUCCCUGAUACCUCAAUGCUGGAACUAUUUCAGUUCUGUCUAUCACCCUAUUUGGUCUGCAUUGUUCUUAGAGCAGGAUGAAGUAAACAAUUUAUCUCUGAAGAUAUACUGCAUAUCACAGAACACAAGCCUGUCAUACGUAUACAUAUAGGAAACAUUCAUAGUCACACAUGUAUACACACACCCUGGAUAUCUGCAAGGCAUCUGAAUUUGAGACCUUGAUCCUCUUCCUCUUCAUAGGGUUGUUGUGAGGGUUCAGUGGACAGAUGCCUGCAGAGUCCUCAGCACAGUGCUUGGUAUGCAGCAAGUGCUCACUCGAUACAACCAGCUGAUGUUAUAGUAAGUGAUCCUUCCCGCCCAGCGGCAUCUUCUCCAGCCAGCUCAGACUGGGCAUUGCUCAGGACCAGGGCGCCCUCUGGUGGCUGCUGUCUCUACUCACACUUCAGACCCCUUUAGAAAGAUCUGGGCUCCUUUCUCACAGCUCCCCUCCCCUGCCGCUCAAGGGGAAAGGGGCAGCCCGGCUCUGUGGACGCCCAAGGCCACCUCCAGAGAGGACGCCAGACAACGGGAGGGCAGUGCAUCCACAGAGUCUCCCCGGGCUAUUAUGAGGUGGUCUUUGUUUAAGUUCUUCCCGAACUUCUCACUGAGCUGUUGGAUGAGGUCGGCCAGCUCUCCGGUAGCUUGA